ensembl:snRNA U7 U7 small nuclear RNA
CAGUGUUAUAGCUCUUUUAGAAUUUGUCUAGCGAGUUUUCUGGUUUUCCACAAAACCUCC